rnacentral:lncRNA from 1 species
CUUCUUCUCUCCCUACAGCGGUAACAUUUAAAACUGGGACUGUCAACAAACAGGAAUAACCUCAAACCUUCCUUAUCACCAGCUUGAAGAGUGUUUACGUCAGGUCGCCACUCAGUUUUUUUACUCGUUUUUGGUGUUUUUACAGCUAAAAAUGAGCGGUUAAACGUACUGCCUUUUAGUAUUUUAUAUGCUUUAGCCUUAUUGACCCAUGUAUUAAUUUCACCUUCUCUACUUAUCACCAGCUUGAAGAGUGUUUACGUCAGGUCGCCACUCAGUUUUUCACUCGUUUUUUGUGUGUUUCUGCAGCUCAAAAUGAGCUGUUAAAGGUACUGCCUCUUAGUUUUUAUGCUUUAGCCUUAUUGACCCAUGUGUUAAGUUCUCCUUCUCUAUUUAUCACCAUGUUUGCCUGUUUGAGUGGUUUUGAAAAAGCGACUAGUGAAAGUCUCCCCGAAAUCGAGAGCUUCACUUUGGCUGAAUUUUGAAGAAAGUCGACGUCAGCACCAAAACCCUUAGAUCAAUGCGACCCACCUACUCGGAUAACGCGAUCGGCUAUGUGCAGCUGAAGCGGGAGGGCACGCUUUGUCAUGUCAUUGCUCGGAUAACGCCGGAGCAUAAAAUCCAAAAAGGGGCUUACAGAGUUCAUUGCGAGGUUGAUGAAGGUCCAAAGUAUGCAACUAUCAAGGCAGCUUACUGCGAGGAUUGCGCAGCUUCUCAAGGAGGAAAUUGCAAACAUGCAAUAGCAUGUGUAACUUGGUUACACCGAAGAAGUGAGGAGCCGUCAGUAACUGAAACGAAGUGUUAUUGGAAAAAAUCAAAGCUUUCCAAAGAUGGGGCAAGCUGUAUGACUGCAACGGAGAUUGUGAGAGAGAGUGAAAAAUUGAAGAAAAGGAAACAACCAGCAAAACAGCAGAUUCCAAUCACACCUGCAGACAGCGAAACCUUUUUUGAAGAGCUUGCCUCCGAGUUUAAAGAUGAAAGUGAUAACAUGCUAUUUGCUGCAAUGCUUAAUAGAAAGAGGUCAUAUUCGACUCAUCAUUUACUAAUGGACUUCAAAGAGACAAAUUUACCACAAGAUGCUGAUUCUUAUCUCCAGUACUGCUCAUCAGUUAUGACUGACGAAGGGUGCCGCAUUCUAGCAGAGGCCACAGAUAAUCAAGCUAAGUGUUAUUUGUGGUUGAUUCAAGAUAUGGUCGUGUGA